AACAAGCACCGCCCAAGCCGCGGGGGUUGGGUCCUGGGAGCUGUGUAUGUCCGCGGUGCGGGAGCGGUUCCAGGGAAGGGCCACGGAGCUGGUGAAGGGCUUGGAUCACAAGUGUGAUGAGGAGCAGCUGGAGGAACUGGUGGUAUUAGUCUGGAGAAGAGAAGGCUCAGGGGGGACUUUAUCGUUCUCUACAACUGCCUGAAAGGAGGAUGGAGCCAGGAGUGGUCUAUCCUGAUUUGCUGUCUGGAAUCUCUUCUGCAAGGUUUGCUGGGAAGCCUUGGAAGAUGUGGUGCUUCUAUAACAUCUUUAUGCUAGAAACACAAGGAGCAUGUGACUAGAAGUGGUAUUCUUUGCUGCUUAGCUGAAGAAGAAAGGAUGUUACAGACUGUGUCUAGAUGCAGUUCUAUUCAACCUGACGGAUGAGAUACCUAUAUUCCCUGAUGUGAACAAAACCAACUUGAAUUCCAGUGAUUCUUCAGACACUUUCUUACAGGGAUCAAUGUAUGCUUUCCUUCUGUUAGCAAUGCAAACUAAAGGGAUCAGUUUUAAUAGGACAUACUUUCAAAUAUUUAUUUUCCCAUAUUUUUUUAAAGAAUCCAGCUUGGCAUGCUAGAGUGGCAACUUAUCAGAAGCAUCCAGGUCAUAAAUCACUGUUGCUAUUUCAUGUUGCAUUUCAGACUGUAAUUUUUCUUUUCUUCCUUCAAAUCUUUCAUGACUCAAAAAAGAAAAAAAAAAAAAAAAAAAGAAGGAAAAAAGAAAUUAUUGACAGAAAAAAACAACAAUCACAUGGAAGAAAAUGAGAAAGUAAUGAAAUUGUGUUUGGGUUGGGAUUGUGGGCAUAUGUAUCCAAUGUUUACUUCCAAAUUUUUCUACUACUAAGAUGUCAAUUCCUGUCAAAGUAUGGAUUGCUGCAAAUAAUUCUGGAGUAUAGAUUAGUGUUACAUUUGACUAGAGUGGAAAAAAGAGAUCAUCCUGAAUGUGCUACAUUUUCUUAAAUUUUGAGUGUUUUCUUAUUUGUCAACUAGCAUAGUUAUUGUUUAGGCAAAAUUUUCAUUAUUUUCAAUGGGAUUUCAGGCUUGGGCUGGCAAUCUGAUAAGGAAGUUACCUUUAUAUCCCUAUGGACCAUUCUUGCAUGCUGAAAUUGAUCUUUGUGUUUGCAGGCUCCUUCUGUCUUCUAUAGCACACUAGUUUCUUGAGCUUUUUAGGUUUUUUUAACUGAAGAGUCAUGGAGCUUUUUAUGAUGUGCAGCUGUAUGGGUAGUAUGGAAGGCUCUUUGAAGCCUUUUGGACUUGAUGGCUGUUGCUUUCCUGCUUGUUCUAGAUUGAGAGUCUAAAUACUGAUGAAUAUUGUUAUUUCUAGAACUGCUGUGGGUUUUCUCCUUUUAAUUUUUUUUUUUUUUUUAAGGUGGUGAGGUUUCAAAAGGCAGCAGUGCUAAUCAGGAGACCUAAUGCUAGUGAUAAUGCACUUCCCCUUGACUAGAUGCUUUUGCCAGUGUCCUCUUCCCAUGGCAUGCCAGUUCAGCUCUCUGGGCUGGUCAGCAGGGCUUGAGGGGAAAAGGGCUUUCUUGUGUGUAUUCAACCCAGGAACAAGAGCAGCCAUGAGGGAUAUCUGAGGCCAUACCACUAAGCAGGGAGUGAGGAGGGGACUAUCUGCCUCUUGUGAGAGCAAGGAGGCAGUAGGAGUUGACAUCUCUUUCAUGAAAUUUUACCCGAAAUGAGCCCUGAUGCUCUGUUCUCUGUAACACCUCUACAGCUUCUUUCCCUUGACAUUCUUGUUUGGCGUCUAUUGACCAUGACAAGUCCACAUUUAAUAAAAAUACUAGUAUUUGCUGGAUUUGAGUACUUUGUGUCUACAUACUUUCUUAGAGAGAGAUGUCUGAAUAUGGGUGAGUUUCUAAGAAAGCCAUUUGUAGGAUUUAUUUAUGCAUUUUAAGUUUUAUCCUUAAUUCUACUCUGCAUGGAUUUGGAGAAAAGAAGAGCAGUAUUGUAAGUGUAUUUUUGUCCUGAGUUCUAAUAAUGCUUUUGUGGCUCUGUGGUUUUAUUUCCUUAGACCACUCCAUGUACUAUUGCAACUAAGGUAGAGGGUUUUUUAAUAUAAACAUAAUUCCUGAUACACUUACUUUCUUCUGGAUUUUUUUUAAUAUCUCUUAAUUGUUUUAGAAUAGAUUUAUAGCAAUAUUGCUGCUAAGAGAAACAUAGUAGACUCUUAAGCUAGUAAGAAUAAUCAGUUCUAAACAAAAUGCAGAAAACUUGACUAUCAGAAACCAGUUUGAAAUUAUUAAUGUUUUUUCAUAAAUAGUUUUCUUACGUCUCUUCAAGAAUUAGCUUGAAAUAGUAUUUGUUGGAUUUUUGCUUGGGUUGUUUGUUUUGGUGUUUUUUUCCCCAAAUAAUUUUCUUACAUCUCUUCAAGAACGAAGGAUACUUAUGGAAAGCAAGUAGUUAAAAUUAACAUCAACUUGACACUGAAAAUGAAACAUACAUCACAAAGACCAAACAUUUUCCUGUCAAAAGGACAACUGCAAUUUGGGAAUCAGUAUAAUACAAAUUUAAAUGUCUGCUUUUCUUAGUUUCUGUUUAUCCUUUUAAUAUUUCAUUUUUAGAAUUUGCAUUUUGUUUAAAAAUAAUGUAUUUUCAGAAGUCUCUUGAAAAGUUUUAACAGGAGGAAUUUGUUUUAGGAAUGUCUUAACACAUAUUCGGCAUACAUAUUAUGUAGAAUGCGUAUAGUAUUUGGAUUUUUUUUUUUCUGUUCAAGCUUUGCACAUCUCAUAACAUUCACAGUUAAUGUAUGAUUGCCUGAUUGUUAUAAAUUUUUUUUGCCACUGUAAACUUCUAAGAAGUCUAAGCUCUUUUAUGCAUUUCAUGUAAUUAUAUGUAAAGUAUUUUAAAAUGAGAUUUUUGUGAUUGUCAGAACUCUAAAGUGGCGAUGUGAGGAAAGAAGUAAAGCUAUCCAAGGUAACUUACAUAACAAAAUCUAGAUGUAGGUCUCACAUGUAUGUAUAAGUGCUUAUGCAGUGUUUAAUAUGAAAGGACUUUCUAUGUAGGUUUAUUCUUUAGAUAGAUUUCUUUAGAAAUUGAUAUACUUAAAAGUAUGUGACUUGAUUUGAUAACAGUCUUAAGUUACACAUGGUGCUGAACAAUUCUACUUCUCAAAGGCUGAUACUGCUCGUGAGUUUUUAAUUAUUCUGUUAAGAUAAAAUUUUAUGUAGUAUUGUCAAGAAGCAUUGUCUUUGAAUAGAAGUAAUUGCUUAAGUUUGGAGGUACUAAAAACUAUUUAAACAAAUCCCUUGUUUUGUUUUAAAUAGUUGUAAUAACCAAUAUAAUCCUUUGAAUUCUGUUGAUAAUCCAGACAAAGAAGGGAAACCAAAGACUGAAUGAUGCCUAUGUAUAGCAGGCAUUUGGCUGCUGAUUGCCAAGUGCACAGUUCACCGUUCGGUCACCUCUGUCUGUCAGUUUAGUCCCUUUAAUGCAGUUCUCUGCAAUCUCCCUGUUCUCUAAAGCUUAUCUGGGGGCUUCAGACAUUGCCUAGCUCAUUAUUCCCCAAGGAAGGUUAAGGCCUUUAUUGUCUGACCAGAACUGCUCGCUAAUUAGAGCCCUUGUUUUGGCACUGAAUGUGUCAGGCCUGCAAGACUUCCUACUGGAAUCAGUGGCAUUCAUGUUUGCUUUCAUAAAUGCACAAUAGACAGGAAUCUUGGCAAAGACCUGCAUACUUAGCUUGUGCAAAGAAACAGGUUUGAGUCUUUUUUUGAAAUAAUGAUAAGUAGAAAGAGAGCUAUUGGAAUAUGUGCUGACUAUUCCACUGAAAAAAAGAGUGCUCUGCCUAAGGAGAGCCCAGUGUGCAGUUCAAACCCAUCAUGUAUUUGUACCCAUGUAGAAAUUUGGAGUCAGUAGUCUUUGUCAGUAGUCUUUUGUGAUGGUAAUUAUUCUCAGAAUUUAGGAAUUUUUGCAGUAAAUGCAAGGUCUGUAAGCAAUAUGAUUAAUUCAGGAUAUGUAUGUCAUGUUGCAAUUAAUAAAUAAUGAUUAUUGGCAAAUAUUUCAAUUAUUUCUUUUGUCCUCCUUCCCUUAAAAGAUAGAUAUGUUUCCACGUAUGAGGUAAGAUUUUUCAAAUGAGCUUCUUUUGGCACAUGGUUUUCAUGGAAAUACAGACUUGGGUCUAUAUUCUGGUGCGGCUCUUUGGAGAUCACCCAAAUAUACUCUGAAUAUUCUUUCCCAGUAAAGGAAUUAAAAGCAUUGGACCUUUCUCAUCCUUUUUUUUUUCUUUUUUCAUUUUUUUUCUCCCUUUAUUCUUUUUUUUCCCUCCCUGUGCUCAUAUGCAAGUGCUUUCGUGGAGUCCAAACCUGGUACGGUGGGUUGGCCAUGGCUGGCUGCCAGACACCUACUCAGCUGCUCUCUCACACCCCCUCUUCAACAGGACUGGGGGAUUGAAAUUCAAUUAUUUACAAAUUAUUGUCAUUGGCAAAACAGACUCUACUUGGAGAAAUAAAUAAUUUAUUGCCGAUUUAAAAUACAGUAGGAUGGUGACAUAACUUAAAAAUACCUUCUGUCCCACUCCCAGCCUUCUUCCCAGGUUCAACUUCAUUCCUUUAUUCCUGAUUUGUCCACCCUCUUGUCCACUCUGAGUGGCAUAGGGAGGAUGGGGAAAUGGGAGUUGUGGACGGGUCCGUAAGAGUUCCUCUCUGCCACUCUUCCCUGCUCACAAUGUUCCUCUGCUCCAGCGUGGGGUCCCUCCCAGAUGUUACAGUCCUUUGUGAACUGCUCCGACUUGGGUCAUUCUUGGAGUAGAGUCCUUCAGGAACAGACUGCUUCAGCAUGGGUCUCCCACAGGCCACAGUUCCUUCCAGAAAACCUUCUCUGGUGUGGGCCCCUCUCCACAGGCUGCAGCACUGAUGUGGGCCCUCUAAGGGCUGCAGCUUCCUUCAGAGCAUCUCCACCUGCUGCAGCAUAGUGUCCUCCAUGCGCUGAAGUGUGGAAUCUUUCCUCUGCUCCAACAUGGUCCUCUAUGAGUGGCAGGGGCACAUCUGCUUCAGUGCUUGGAGUACCUCCUUCUGCUCCUUCUUCGUUGACUUUGGUGGCUGCAGGAUCAUUGUUUCCAUGUUUUUUUCUCUUUCACAGUCACUGGGCAGCAUUUUUUAUCCUUUCUUAAUUACAUUUUUCACAGAGGCACCACCAGCUUCACUGGUGCAGCCCCUGGUCUCAUCCACCCGUGCAGUUCUUCCACUGCCAAAACCUUGCCUCAUAAAAUCAAAAC